CGCUAGCUACAGGCUUAACACAUGCAAGUCGAGGGGCAGCAUGGUCUUAGCUUGCUAAGGCCGAUGGCGACCGGCGCACGGGUGAGUAACACGUAUCCAACCUGCCGUCUACUCUUGGACAGCCUUCUGAAAGGAAGAUUAAUACAAGAUGGCAUCAUGAGUCCGCAUGUUCACAUGAUUAAAGGUAUUCCGGUAGACGAUGGGGAUGCGUUCCAUUAGAUAGUAGGCGGGGUAACGGCCCACCUAGUCUUCGAUGGAUAGGGGUUCUGAGAGGAAGGUCCCCCACAUUGGAACUGAGACACGGUCCAAACUCCUACGGGAGGCAGCAGUGAGGAAUAUUGGUCAAUGGGCGAGAGCCUGAACCAGCCAAGUAGCGUGAAGGAUGACUGCCCUAUGGGUUGUAAACUUCUUUUAUAAAGGAAUAAAGUCGGGUAUGUAUACCCGUUUGCAUGUACUUUAUGAAUAAGGAUCGGCUAACUCCGUGCCAGCAGCCGCGGUAAUACGGAGGAUCCGAGCGUUAUCCGGAUUUAUUGGGUUUAAAGGGAGCGUAGAUGGAUGUUUAAGUCAGUUGUGAAAGUUUGCGGCUCAACCGUAAAAUUGCAGUUGAUACUGGAUAUCUUGAGUGCAGUUGAGGCAGGCGGAAUUCGUGGUGUAGCGGUGAAAUGCUUAGAUAUCACGAAGAACUCCGAUUGCGAAGGCAGCCUGCU
rnacentral:rRNA from 1 species